CAGUAGCCACGGUAAUACGAAGGGUGCAAGCGUUACUCGGAAUUACUGGGCGUAAAGCGUGCGUAGGUGGUGGUUUAAGUCCGUUGUGAAAGCCCUGGGCUCAACCUGGGAAUUGCAGUGGAUACUGGGUCACUAGAGUGUGGUAGAGGAUAGUGGAAUUUCCGGUGUAGCAGUGAAAUGCGUAGAGAUCGGAAGGAACAUCUGUGGCGAAGGCGACUAUCUGGGCCAACACUGACACUGAGGCACGAAAGCGUGGGGAUCAAACAGGAUUAGAUACCCGGGUAGUCCCUGUCUCUUAUAA
rnacentral:rRNA from 1 species